rnacentral:rRNA from 1 species
GCAAWWACCAAUAGCGGAGGAAAAGAAACUAACAAGGAUUCCCCUAGUAACUGCGAGUGAAGCGGGAAAAGCUCAAAUUUAAAAUCUGGCGGUCUUCGGCCGUCCGAGUUGUAAUCUGGAGAAGCGUUUUCCGCGCUGGACCGUGUACAAGUCUCUUGGAACAGAGCGUCAUAGAGGGUGAGAAUCCCGUCUUUGACACGGACUACCAGUGCUAUGUGAUGCGCUCUCGAUGAGUCGAGUUGUUUGGGAAUGCAGCUCAAAAUGGGUGGUAAAUUCCAUCUAAAGCUAAAUAUUGGCGAGAGACCGAUAGCGAACAAGUACCGUGAGGGAAAGAUGAAAAGCACUUUGGAAAGAGAGUUAAACAGUACGUGAAAUUGCUGAAAGGGAAACGAUUGAAGUCAGUCGCGUGUGCUAGAACUCAGCCUUGCUUUUGCUUGGUGCAUUUUCUAGUGUACGGGCCAGCAUCAGUUUUGGCCGCCGGAAAAAGGCCUUGGGAAUGUGGCACCUUCGGGUGUGUUAUAGCCCUUGGUYGUAUACGGUGGCUGGGACUGAGGAACAUAGCAUGCCUUUACGGCGGGGCUUCGGCCACCUUCAUGCUUGGA